GGGGGAGGAAAACACCCCGGGGGCACGAGGAAGCAAUUUGCUCUCGGGUCUGGGAGUCAGCGCCGGAAUCAGAAUAUCCUGAGGAGGAAAGAAAACUGAGCGAGCAGGGCGAGGGUGCUGCACUGGGCAGUGAAUGAAUGAAUCCCUGCCCUGGGGUUGACACUCCAGUGGGAUGAAGAGACAGACCCAACAUGACUGCAUACGAGCCACAUGAGAGGAGAGGAGAUUGCAAUUUCGGCCGGAACUUUCUCUCAUCCCCGAGUUUGAAGAGAGCAAGUGGCAGUGGAGGAGGUGCGGAGAAGGCCGGGAGAGGGAACCAGAAGGGAAGACAGAGGCGUGAGAAGGAGAAAGCCAGAAGAGGCCGGCGCGGCGGCUCACGCUGUAAUCCCAGCACUUUGGGAGGCUGAGGCGGGUGGAUCACUUGAAGUCAGGAGUUUCAGACCAGCCUGGCCAACAUGGUGAAACCCUGUCUCUAUUAACAAAUAUAAAAAUUAACCGAGCAUGGCUGCAUGAGUCUCUAGUCCCACUACUCAGGAUGCUGAGGUGGGAGAAUCACUUGAACCCAGGAGGCGGAGGUUGCAGUGAGCCAAGAUCAUACCACUGUACUCCAGUUUGAGUGACAGAGUGAGACUCUUUCUCAAGUUAAGAAAAGCAAGAAGAGAGGGAGGAGGAAAGAAUGCAUAGGAGAAAAGAAAUACAGCCACGUGAGACAUUAAGGCAGAACUGAGAAAGGUGGCCAGGUGCAGUGGCUCAUGCUUGUAAUCCCAGCACUUUGGGAGGCUGAGGAGGGAGGAUUGCUUGAGUCCAGGUAUUCAAGACCAGCCUGGACAAUAUGGCAAGAUCCCAUUUCCACUAAAAAAAAAGAAAAGGGGCGCGCCUGGGCCGGGUCACCCAGCCCCGGGACCGCUGUAAAAAGAUAAUAUCAAAAAAAAAAAAAAAGAAAAGGGCCGGGCACGGUGGCUCAUGCCUGUAAUCCCAGCACUUUGGGAGGCCAAGGCAGGCAGAUCACCUGAGGUCGGGAGUUCGUGACCAAUCUGGCCAACAUGGUGAAACCCUGUCUCUACGAAAAGUACAAAAAUUAGCUGGGCAUGGUGGCAGGAGCCUGUAAUCCCAGCUGCUCAGGAGACUAAGGCAGGGGAAUCGCUUGAACCUGGGAGGCGGAGGUUGCAGUGAGCCCAGGUCGCACCACUGCACUCCAGCCUGGGUGACAGAGUCAGGCUCCGUCUCAAAAAAAAAGGAAGAAAGAAACAGAGACAAAAAGAAAGAGAAAAGAAAAGAAAGAUGUCAGGAUUACUGGGGGCUUUGGAUCUUGUGACUCCAGCCAGGGGCACCUGCAGGAGCUGUCCCACUUUCAAAGUCCCUUGGCCCAUGACAUGCAAUAUUUAUUUACUUAUGUAUGUAUGUAUUUGAGAUGGAGAAUUGCUCUUUUGCCCAGGGUGGAGUGUAGUGGCCCAAUCUCACUGCAACCUCCGCCUUCCAGUUUUAAGCGAUUCUCCUGCCUCAGACUCCCGAGUAGCUGGGAUUACAGGCACUCGCCACCACACCUGGCUAAUUUUUGUAUUUUUACUUGAGACCGAGUUUUACCAUGUUGGUCAGGCCGGUCUCAAACUCCUAACCUCAUGAUCCACCCGCCUCAGCCUCCCAGAGUGCUGAGAUUACAGGUGUGAGCCACUGUGCCUGGCUCAAUUUUAAUUGCAAAGCAAGCUCGUGCAGCAAGUAGGGGCCACUUACCCCAUUUUACAGAGGAGAACAUGGAGGCUUAGAGAAAGAACACUGUCAUGUUUGAGUGUGUCUCCACCCAAACCUCAUGUAGAAUUGUAAUCCCCACAUGUGGAGGAAGGGACCUGGUGGGAGAUGGAGGGAGUGGUUCCCCGUUGCGGUUCUCCUGAUAGUGAGUUCUCCCCGGAUCUGGUCGUUUGAUAAGUGUCUGGCACUUCCCCCUUCUCUCUUUCCUGCCUCCAUGUCAGACGUGCCUUGCUUUCCCUUCACUUUUUGUAAGUUUCCUGAGGCCUCCCCAGCCAGGCAGAGCUGUGAGUCAAUUAAACCUUUUUUCUUCAUAAAUCACCCACACUCACGUAGUUCUUUAUAGCAGUGUGAAAACAGACGAAUACAGACAUGUUUGCUCCAGAUCCUAGAACUAACUUAUUCAUUGUGGGAAUGAUCAGAUAAAAUCUAGGGCAGAGGAUGGAAAGCUUUUUCCAUCAAGGAUCAGAAUCUAAAUAUUUCUGGGCCAGGUAUGGUGGCUCACGCCUGUAAUCCCAACACUUUGGGAGGCUGAGGCGGCUAGAUCACGAGGUUAGGAGUUCGAGACUAGCCUGACCAAUAUGGUGACCCCCCCUCCUCCAUCUCUACCAAAAAUACAAAAAAAAAAAUUAGCCAGGCAUGGUGGUGCACCUUUAGUCUCUCCUACUCGGGAGACUGAGGCAGGAGAAUUGUGUGAACCCUGGAGGCGGAGGUUGCAGUAAGCUGAGAUUUCACCACUGACUCCAGCCUGCAUGACAGAGCAAGACUAAAUAAACAAAUAGUCUGGGUGCGGUGGCUCACACCUGUAAUCCCAGCACUGGGAGGUCGAGUUGGGCAGAUCACAAGGUCAGGAAUUCAAGACCAAACUGAACGUGGUGAAACCCCAUCUCUACUAAAAACUACAAAAAUUAGCUGGGCAUGGUGGUUCGUGCCUGUAAUCCCCGCUAGUUGGGAGGCUGAGGUAGGAGGAUUUCUUGAACUGUGACCUGGGAGUUGGAGAUUGCAGUGAGACGAGAUUGCAUGCACUCCAGCCUGGGCUACAGAGCGAGACUCCAUCUCUAAAUAAAUAAAUGAAUACAUACAUAAAUAAAAAUAAGUAAUUCUGCCUUUGCAGGCCACAUGUUCUCUAUUUAUUUAUUUUUGAGAUGGAGUGUCACUCUUGUCACCCAGGCUGGAGUGCAAUGGUGUGAUCUCAGCUCACUGCAACCUCUGCCUUCCAGGCUCAAGUGAUCCUCCCACCUCAACCUCCAAAGUACCUGGGAUUACAGGC